rnacentral:rRNA from 1 species
UGGGGAAUUUUGGACAAUGGGGGCAACCCUGAUCCAGCCAUGCCGCGUGAGUGAAGAAGGCCUUCGGGUUGUAAAGCUCUUUCGGCCGGGAAGAAAUCGUGCAGGCUAAUACCCUGUAUGGAUGACGGUACCGGAAUAAGAAGCACCGGCUAACUACGUGCCAGCAGCCGCGGUAAUACGUAGGGUGCGAGCGUUAAUCGGAAUUACUGGGCGUAAAGCGUGCGCAGGCGGCUUUGUAAGACAGGCGUGAAAUCCCCGGGCUCAACCUGGGAACUGCGCUUGUGACUGCAAGACUAGAGUACGGCAGAGGGGGGUGGAAUUCCACGUGUAGCAGUGAAAUGCGUAGAGAUGUGGAGGAACACCAAUGGCGAAGGCAGCCCCCGGGGUCGAUACUGACGCUCAUGCACGAAAGCGUGGGGAGCAAACAGGAUUAGAUACCCUGGUAGUCCACGCCCUAAACGAUGUCAACUAGUUGUUGGUAGGGUAAAACCUAUUAGUAACGGAGCUAACGCGUGAAGUGACCGC